rnacentral:rRNA from 1 species
UACGUAGGGUGCAAGCGUUGUCCGGAAUUAUUGGGCGUAAAGGGCUCGUAGGCGGUCCAUCGCGUCGGGAGUGAAAAGCUGGGGCUCAACCCCAGUCCUGCUUCCGAUACGGGUGGACUAGAGGUAUGCAGGGGAGAACGGAAUUCCUGGUGUAGCGGUGAAAUGCGCAGAUAUCAGGAAGAACACCAAUGGCGAAGGCAGCUCUCUGGGACGGUACUGACGCUGAGACGCGAAAGCGUGGGGAGCGAACAGG